GAUGAAGAACGCAGCGAAAUGCGAUAAGUAGUGUGAAUUGCAGACUUUAGUGAAUCAUCGAAUCUUUGAACGCACAUUGCGCCCCUUGGUAUUCCGGGGGGCAUGCCUGUCCGAGCGUCAUUACAACCCUCAAGCUCAGCUUGGUGUUGGGCCCCGCCGCCCCGGCGGGCCCUAAAGUCAGUGGCGGUGCCGUCCGGCUCCGAGCGUAGUAAUUCUUCUCGCUCUGGACGUCCGGUCGUGUGCUCGCCAGCAACCCCCAAUUUUUUUCAGGUUGACCUCGGAUCAGGUAGGGAUACCCGCUGAACUUAAGCAUAUCAAUAAGCGAAGGA
rnacentral:misc_RNA from 1 species